GAGGAUUUAUCUUUUCUGCUGCUUCUUUUAAAGAGAUCAGCAAACUGGGAAGUGAAGAGUAAUGAAAGAAAUGCAAUCUGAUCCUGCCAGCAGAGUAAGGGCGAGAUAUCCUGCAUUUGGAUUAUUCUUUCAAACUGGAUCACAAUAAAGGAGAAAUGGUCACACAGAUGACUCACAAAGAUACUUGCCUUUUGCCUAAAAUGAAAACUGCCUCAGCUCUACCUAUCGACUCAGGUUUUACUCUUCCAGAAGCCUUCUUAGACCACCAUCUGAGACCAUGGACC